rnacentral:rRNA from 1 species
UACAGAGGGUGCGGGCGUUGUCCGGAAUUACUGGGCGUAACGGGCGCGUAGGCGGUUCGAUAAGUAGGAGGUGAAAUCUCACGGCUCAACCGGGAGGCUGCCUUCUAGACUGUCGGACUUGAGCACGGUAGAGGCAGAUGGAAUUCCCGGUGUAGCGGUGGAAUGCGUAGAGAUCGGGAAGAACACCAGUGGCGAAGGCGGUCUGCUGGGCCGUUGCUGACGCUGAGGCGCGACAGCGUGGGGAGCAAACAGG